CUCUUUAGCUUGGCAUUUGAAUCGGCUUUGCUGUUGCGAAGUAGAGUGGCGGCUUCGGCUGCCGAGGGUCGAUCCAUUUGGGAAAUGUUGUGUACUUCGGUAUGCAUCUCAAUUGGACCUGAUAUCAGGCAAGAUUACCCGCUGAACUUAAGCAUAUUAAUAAGCGGAGGAAAAGAAACUAACAAGGAUUCCCCUAGUAACGGCGAGUGAAGCGGGAAGAGCUCAAGCUUAAAAUCUCCGUGCAAGUUUUGCGCGGCGAAUUGUAGUCUAUAGAGGCGUGAUCAGUGUGGGCGCUUGGGGCAAGUUCCUUGGAAGAGGACAGCAUGGAGGGUGAUACUCCCGUUCAUCCCUGAGUUGCUCGUGCGUACGAUCCGUUUUCUUUGAGUCGCGUUGUUUGGGAAUGCAGCGCAAAGUAGGUGGUAAAUUCCAUCUAAAGCUAAAUAUUGGUGCGAGACCGAUAGCGAACAAGUACCGUGAGGGAAAGAUGAAAAGAACUUUGAAAAGAGAGUUAAAGAGUACCUGAAACUGCUGAAAGGGAACCGAAUCGUUUCCAGUGUCUAUAAUCCGUGGUAUAUUUCAUUGGCGAGUGUGUGCGUGCGUGUGCUGUGGCAGCGGCUUUUUUGGCUGCGCUCGGCGUGUGUGCUGUGUGUGCUUGCUGGUGCCCUGUGCUGCGGUGGGACGUCAAGGUCAGUUCGUAUGCUGCGGGAAAUGGCCGCCGAGGAGGUAGGGCUUACGCUUGCGUUUGUCUGUUAUAUCUUGGUGGACGAGUAGUCGCGGUUGGGACUGAGGUGCCUACAACGUGUUUUUGAGUGGGCCUGUGUCUCUGUGUGCGCCGUGUGCGGAUAGCUUGCUAUGCGUGUGUGGUUGUGUGUGGAUUGAUGUGGGUUUUAACUUGUUGCCGUUCGGGACGUUGACGAAAUGGAGCGAUUUGACCCGUCUUUGAAACACGGACCAAGGAGUCUAACAUGUGUGCAAGUGUUAGGGUGUGGGAACCCCCCAGCGCGAAAUGAAAAGUGAAGGGCAGCGUAAAGUUGUCUGAGGUAGGAAAAUGCUGCGGGCUUCGGGUCUGCGGUGUGGCACUAUCGACCGAUCAUGAACCUUCGUGGUGAAAGAUUUGAGUUUGAGCACAUAUGUUGGUACCCCGAAAGAUGGUGAACUAUGCCUGAGUAGGGUGAAGCCAGGGGAAACUCUGGUGGAAGCUCGUAGCGAUUCUGACGUGCAAAUCGAUCGUCAAACUUGGGUAUAGGGGCGAAAGACUAAUCGAACCAUCUAGUAGCUGGUUCCCUCCGAAAUUUCCCUCAGGAUAGCAGCAACUUAUUUACGAUAGUUUUAUGAGGUAAAGCGAAUGAUUAGAGGAUUCGGGGAAGAAACUUCCUCGACCUAUUCUCAAACUUUAAAUCUGUAAGACCUGCAGGUUUCUUAAUUGAACUUGUGGAUGUGAAUAUCAAGUUGCUAGUGGGCCAUACGGGGUAAGCUCGUCUGGCGAUGCGGGAUGAACCGAACGCAAAGUUAAAGUGCCAAAAUGCUCGCUCACCUAGAUACCAUAAAAGGUGUUGGUUCAUUUAGACAGCAGGACGGUGGCCAUGGAAGUCGGAAUCCGCUAAGGAGUGUGUAACAACUCACCUGCCGAAUGAACUAGCCCUGAAAAUGGAU